rnacentral:rRNA from 1 species
UACGUAGGCAGCAAGCGUUGUUCGGAGUUACUGGGCGUAAAGGGUGUGUAGGCGGUUGUUUAAGUUUGGUGUGAAAUCUCCCGGCUCAACCGGGAGGGUGCGCCGAAUACUGAAUGACUUGGAGUGCGGGAGAGGAGAGUGGAAUUCCUGGUGUAGCGGUGAAAUGCGUAGAUAUCAGGAGGAACACCGGUGGUGUAGACGGCUCUCUGGACCGUAACUGACGCUGAGACACGAAAGCGUGGGUAGCAAACAGG